ACUUCCUUUCCAAACGACGCUCCACGCUCACUUCCCUUUCCAACGCAACUUUGCCCUCCAAAGAGACGAUUACAUAGAUGACAAUUCAGUCCCCAAGGCAAUGAUUCAGGCGAUUGAUAACCCUAGGGUUUAUAAAAAAUGGCUCCUGUCAGGCAACGAUUCAGGCGAUUGAGGGCACGAUUUCAAUUCAAUCCUGGAGGUUUUCAAUUCAAUCCUUGAGGGCACGAUUUGAUUCAUUGCGAGUGGAACCUGGAGGUUUUCAAGUAGUAUUUUAUUCAAAGGUGAGUUAAUUUAGGGUUUACUGAUUUGCGUCAUUGUUAGUGAGUUUGGUAACUGAUUUGCGUCAUUGUUAGUGAGUUUGGUUACUGAUUUGCGUCAUUGUUAGUGAGUUGGGUUUAGGGUUUAUUUCAUCAUCGUUAGUUGGCUGUCACUUUAUACUUUUUUCAUUGGCAAUGAGCUUAUCAGUAUAUGGCAUUCAACUUUUAGGUAAAAAGAAAUCAAAGUCUGAUGGAAGUGAUUCAGGUGAAGAGAACAUGUCUAAAAUAAGAUCUAGCCUUAAAGCAAGCAAUUGAUCAAAUCAAUACUUCUCAUGGAAAGGGAUCUAUCAUGUUUCUUUGUCAGUGUGCUUCUCCCAGACAAGUCCCAGUGGUGUCUACAGGACCUUUUGCAUUAGAUAUAGCAUUGGGAGUUGGUGGCUUUCCAAAGGCAUUUACACUGUGGACGCGUAGUUGAGAUAUACGGCCCAGAGGCCUCUGGAAAGACAACUCUUGCUCUGCAUGUAAUUGCUGAAGCGCAAAAGCAAGGAGAUUGUUGAGAUCUUGGAAGGAUUGGUCGAGGAAGGUUCUGACACCAUGAAUGCUUGUUGUACCUUACCUUCAAUGCUUUUAACUUAUUUUGGAUAUAUUGCCUUAGAAAGGAUUGUCGAUAAGAUUUACUUAGAAUCUUAUUCCUUGCAAAGAUGAUUGCAAAAGCUUCUAAUGGGUUGUUUGUUUACCUCUU